AUCACAAGUAGUGAUGAUUCUAAUGCUAAAGAUGUCGGAAAUUCUCCUGGUGUUGAAAAUACAGAACAAGAAUUGGUGUUGCAAGAGUGGAAAUACAUUGAUGAGUCAACGAAACAUAGAGAAUUGUUUUUAAAAUUGAUUGAAUAUGGACGCAAUUCCAGUGUUGAGGUUAAAGUGGUGGGCAAUGUACGAGUAAUUUUCUCAGAAGAGUUUUGCAUUGGUAAAGGAAGUGAUGGAACACGUGUUUAUCUUGGACUG